CUCUCUUCUCUAGGGUUCGCGAACCCCUUUCGAUCCUUGCGGCCAGGGCUAGGGUUUCUGCCCCUUUCCCUUCAGUUGAGGCGAGCCUUUGGCUUUCCUCUUGCACAGCAAGCUGGAAUAUACGGCCAAUCGAAGGCGCAGGCUCCAUGGCAAGUAUCUGUGACCUGAAAUGGAGGUAAGAUUCGUUAAGAAUGAGUAGAAAGCGAGUCGCCUUCUCUCUGUCUUUUAUCGCCUUGUGUUGUUGGAUAGUGGUUUCGGGCCCAUCGAGUUUCUCUUCCGCUGCCUCCAGCUCAUUCCAGAGGGCUGAAAGUUUGUUGAAGCACGUCGUCACAGACGUGUUUCCUUGCUUCAGUUCGGAAAGUGCUUGAUGUAGUGAGAAAAUCCUCGCCCGAUCCAGUUUUCCAUACAUCUCGCGUAUAUUGUCCCAAAAAACUUUUGAAUCCUCUGUGGGAGGCAAUCCGACAGCUAUUUCUGGGUUUAUACAAUUUCCUAUCCAUGUCCUGACUAACUGAUUACACUUUUUCCAUUGUCGCCCUAAUUUCUCAUCAAUUGGGACCGGAAUGGUGCCGUCGAUGAAUCCCUCCUUAUCUUUUGUUAUGAGGGCUCGACGGAAGUCACGCGCCCAAUUUGAGUAAUUCUCCGGCCCUGUGAGGGGGUUGUUGAUGAGCUUCAACUCUGGGCCGUCGGCGUUGGAGACAUACAGCGCGUCGCCGGGUUCUGGGCGACCCAUGGCGGCCGCAAAGGGAAAAGGUAUAAACCCUGUUGGAAAUCCCGCAUUGGUUGUAGUCUGGCUCGGAUUGGUUGUAGUCUGUCCCUGAUUCGAAUUCCCUGGUCCGCCCGUCUGCUCAAGGCCGAUGGUUGAGCCUGCCCCAGCAUUGGUUGGUAGGCCUACAUCGGUCUGCACGCUUUGGUAACCCGGCUGUGAUGCAUCUGGAUUUGAUCCAUGAAUCCAUGGGUACGGCAUCCACUGAUAAGGAUAGCCAGAGAAAGGUAACCCUGGAUUGAACUGAGCCGGAUUGGGUUGCCAAAGCGUGUGUUGUGCGUGAAUUUGGCUUUGACUGGGUUGUUGAUCAGCUGGCGGAUUGAUAAUGGACUGAGCCGGAGAUGGCGAAUCAUGAGGCGUCACAUUACCUUCGGUAGGUGAAGUAUGUGGAUCUGUCAUGAUGAAGAGAAACUCUGCAGUAACUCUGUUUUGCAGGUUGGUUUGCAGUAACUCUGCAGUAACUCAAGAAUUCUUGCCGGAUGCUGUUUUGGUUUGCAAGUGGAGCAAAGACCAAGAGCAGAAGAUCACGGAAGGCAAUUCAAAAAACGCGGAAGCUAUGUCAGAACCAGAAAGGCUCUGAUACCAUGAAAGAAGUCGAGAGAGAGGAAUUUGAGAGAAAGAAUUGUGGGAAUUUUCCUCUGUAUUCACUGCUUUGAUUCAAUGUACAUUGUCCUAUUGUUAUAGUACAAAAGAGUGUACAAAACAGGAAAACACGAUGAUGGACGCGAGCAUCCAGCACACCGCGAAGAUCACUCCGGCCUUAAGCAGCAGAAGACCCGACCCAUCGUCACCACCGCGAACGCCGGCGCUCUCGAAAUCGACGCAAUAUCUCGCGAUGAAUUUCCUCAUCAUCUCAUGGAGAGAAGCAAGAAUUCAACUCUACUCCUAAGGCGAGGAACAUUCAAUUUAAGCACUGGCCAUAACGGUGAUAGACCACAAAAGUCGAGGGGACAACUUCGGAGAUAAUUCGCUUCGGAUGACUUGCUGGGAGUCGUGACGAAGGUUCUACGAAAUUGCUUCUGAUCGAACUUCGACAUUCUUAAAUUGGGGAAGUGGUGAUGUCGACCUCGUGAUCGUAAUCUCAGAAAGAGUCGUGCACAUGCCCCUGGUUGGUCCAAAACGGUAAACAAGGGAAGUUGCGGGUCAAUCAAGACACUCCAUGUUCGACGUGGGACGUUUUGUAUUUUGGCUGAUUUACCGGUCAAUUAUGUUUUUGGUCGAAAGGUACGGCUUUCUUAAUCUUAAGUCAGCUGGUCUAUGACUUAAGAGAGACGUUGUAUCUUGGGAACUUUCUGGGCAAUAUAGUAGCUACCAAGAAAUUGUUACUCCUGUCAGAGAUUUAUGGCACACCUUGUAAUUGCUUCAACGUUGUUCGAAA